rnacentral:tRNA from 1 species
GCGCGGGUGGCGGAAUGGUAGACGCACUGGCUUGAGGUGCCAGCGGGCGCAAGCCCUUGGAGGUUCGACUCCUCUCCCGCGCA